AAGGUGUGGAUGGUGUUCAGCACCAGUGACGUCACUGACGUGUGUUUACCAGUGUGUGGAUGGUGUUCAGCACCAAGGACAGGUGUGUUUACCU
rnacentral:pre_miRNA from 1 species